ACUGUGAAGGACAGAAAGAAACUGUUCAUCCUUUUCCUUGAUCAACAUUGAUACUGCAUGUGCAAAAUUUGAGAGAAGGCUCACGUGAAGAAUUUCAAAUGAGU